rnacentral:tRNA from 1 species
GCGGGAAUAGCUCAGUUGGUAGAGCACGACCUUGCCAAGGUCGGGGUCGCGAGUUCGAGUCUCGUUUCCCGCUCCAAAU